GUGGGGAAUAUUGCGCAAUGGGGGAAACCCUGACGCAGCAACGCCGCGUGAGUGAGGAAGGACUUCGGUCUGUAAAGCUCUGUUAAUGUGGAAAAAUGGUAGUUGGUCUAAUAGGCCGAUUAUUUGAUGGUACACAUAGAGGAAGCACCGGCUAACUUCGUGCCAGCAGCCGCGGUAAUACGAAGGGUGCAAGCGUUGUUCGGAUUUAUUGGGCGUAAAGCGCGCGUAGGCGGACCGGCAAGUCAGAUGUGAAAUCUCGGGGCUCAACCCCGAAACUGCGUCUGAAACUACAGGUCUAGAAUCUUGGAGGGGGAAGGGGAAUAUCGCAUGUAGGGGUAAAAUCCGUAGAUAUGCGAUGGAACACCAGAGGCGAAGGCGCCUUCCUGGACAAGUAUUGACGCUGAGGCGCGAAAGCGUGGGGAUCAAACAGGAUUAGAAACCCCAGUAGUCC
rnacentral:rRNA from 1 species